rnacentral:rRNA from 1 species
UUGAACGCUGGCGGCAGGCCUAACACAUGCAAGUCGAACGGUAACAGGAAACAGCUUGCUGUUUCGCUGACGAGUGGCGGACGGGUGAGUAAUGUCUGGGAAACUGCCUGAUGGAGGGGGAUAACUACUGGAAACGGUAGCUAAUACCGCAUAACGUCGCAAGACCAAAGAGGGGGACCCUCGGGCCUCUUGCCAUCGGAUGUGCCCAGAUGGGAUUAGCUUGUUGGUGGGGUAACGGCUCACCAAGGCGACGAUCCCUAGCUGGUCUGAGAGGAUGACCAGCCACACUGGAACUGAGACACGGUCCAGACUCCUACGGGAGGCAGCAGUGGGGAAUAUUGCACAAUGGGCGCAAGCCUGAUGCAGCCAUGCCGCGUGUAUGAAGAAGGCCUUCGGGUUGUAAAGUACUUUCAGCGGGGAGGAAGGGAGUAAAGUUAAUACCUUUGCUCAUUGACGUUACCCGCAGAAGAAGCACCGGCUAACUCCGUG